rnacentral:lncRNA from 1 species
UCUCUCUUAGCUUUUUUCUUGACAUUUUAAAGAAGGCUUAAGAUUGUAGUCAAAAAGAUUUUCAUCAUCUUUAAAAAUGCUUAAACAAACUCCCACUAUUAGGACACAAAUUAGCCAACUUAACUCAGAUGAUUACAUUAUCUUUUGGUCGUGGAAUCUAGAAUAAAGAGGCUAAGAGCGUUAAAAUUAUAUUUUUGAAACAGAAAUAAAAUAUUAUUUGUGAAUAAAUUAAUUGUUUGCUUGGUGUUUUCACUUUUAGGCCUUGCUCGAAAAUUAACUAAAGUAAACUAAAAUUAUAAAAAAGAAAAGAUAUGAAAAAAAAAUUACUUUAAUUUCGCAAUCUUUGAAUUUACAAGGAUGUCUUUAAAUUUACAAAGAUGGUGGAGAUUUUUUAGUACAAGUGUGAUAGUGUGCUUUGUGCUUUUUUUGGUGUGCUUUCUUUCAUGAGAGGUGUGGACAUUUAUAGAUGCUGGUACAUCACGUCUAUUCUAUUGGUGUUGUAAGUGUGUUAUCAAUAAUUGAAGAAUAUUAUGCAAACUUUACGGGUGUGCGAUCAAAAAUCAAAGAAAAAUAAAUAUUGUACAAUUCUUCAUGUGAGUAAUUAAAAAAUGAAUUAUUUGAAAAUAUGUUUCUGAAAACUUUUGUCUUCACGCCUGACUUUUCUUGAAAUAUGAGAAUCAACUCUGCUGAGAAUCUUUGAAAUAUGUUUAAAACCUUUAUAUUUACGCCUCUUCUUUUUGACUUCCUUAUCUUGCUAAUUAUUUCUCCAUCUUUCUAUCUCGUCUUUAUCUGUCUAUCAUUUCUUCUAUGGUUUCUUCUAGUUCUGGAUCCAUCUCAUUAUCGUUGUCAUCAGAUAAGUAUGCUUCCUCUUCUGUUUCUGAUAGGGUUUCUGUAAAUUCUCCAUUAGUCUCUUAGAACACUAUUAGAUAUAAAUUCUUUUGUUCAAUAUUUGGUACUAGAAUUUUUUCUGCUUUAGUUCUCAUGGCAAGGUGCUCUUUGCAUAAAAGAAUUCCGUUGUUCCAUUGUGCUACUAAUCUGAAAUCAUUAUUUUGAACUUUCAUCAUGAUUGCGAUUUCUGAUAUUCUUUUUUCAUAAUCAAUCUGUCUAUUUUUUAUUUUAAUAUUCGUUCUUGAAGAGGGUCUAAAUCUUUUGGUUUCUUCAUAAAUUAAAAUACGAUGAUAAGCUCGAAUUACAAUACCAUUAUUUACACGAUGGGGUAUGGAAAUGAUUUGAAUCAUUAAGGAAUGGUCUUUAACUGAUCAAGAAUCUAUUUAAAUUUUGGUGGAAAAAAUAGAAAAGAUAUGUUUAAUAUGUAUAUAGCCCAUGUUUGUUUCCCAUUUUUUUCCCAUUAAAAUGAAAAAUAUGAUCGUUAUCCAUCACAUCAGACCACCAAAUUUGAAUUUCUAUUUCUUGUGUGGGACCUAUAAUGGCUAUAUUUUUCAUUUUCAUUUUUAUGUUAAUGUGUACCAAACGGGGCCAUAUUAUCUAUCAUACUAAACUGUAAA